CCUACGGGAGGCAGCAGUGGGGAAUAUUGCGCAAUGGGCGAAAGCCUGACGCAGCGACGCCGCGUGAGGGAUGAAGGUCUUCGGAUCGUAAACCUCUGUCAGCAGGGAAGAACGGUCACUGUGCUAAUCAGCAGUGAAUUGACGGUACCUGCAAAGGAAGCACCGGCUAACUCCGUGCCAGCAGCCGCGGUAAUACGGAGGGUGCGAGCGUUAAUCGGAAUUACUGGGCGUAAAGCGCUCGUAGGCGGUAUGUCAAGUCAAGGGUGAAAUCCCCGGGCUCAACGUGGGAACUGCCUUUGAAACUGGCAAACUUGAGUGUGUUAGAGGAUAGUGGAAUUCCAGGUGUAGGAGUGAAAUCCGUAGAGAUCUGGAGGAACACCAGUGGCGAAGGCGACUAUCUGGCACAUAACUGACGCUGAGGAGCGAAAGCGUGGGUAGCAAACAGGAUUAGAUACCCGAGUAGUC
rnacentral:rRNA from 1 species